rnacentral:RNase_P_RNA from 1 species
GCAGGCCGGGUGACCGCGAGCCUUCUGGCUCGAGGAAAGUCCGGACACCGUAGGGCAGGAUGCUGGGGAAAUCCCAGGCGGCGAAAGCCGACGGAAAGUGGCACAGAAAGGAGACCACCACCGGCGUAACGCAACUCCGGAGACGCCGGGGGCAAGGGUGAAAAGGUGGGGUAAGAGCCCACCAGCGUCGUGGUGACACGACGGCUCGCCAAACCCCGUCCGGUGCAAGGCGAACAGGCCCCGAUGACGUAGCCCGCGUAGGGGCCGGGUCGGCCGCUCGAGCCGCCGAGGAAUCGGCGGCCUAGAUGGAUGGUCACCCUCGACAGAAUCCGGCUUAGAGGCCUGCUACA